CAAAGAAAGCAGAAACAAAACAACCUCGCCUGUAGAGCUAAGGAGAGUGGGACAGAAGGACAAUACAUCCCAAGCACUGUCAAGGGAGGGAGUAAGCCUGGGAGAAGAGUCUUAACGAGAAAGCCCCCACGAUCCCAGCAUCUUGGCUUCCGGGACCAAGCUCAGUUACCACCGGCAAGCAGCCAAGCCUGCACGUCUGCCACGGCCCAGGAGCUCUGCUGGGCUCUGCACAGGUUUUAUCCCUUCCAGGGAACUCUAAAAAGUUCCAAGAAAACAAAAGGGAGAUGGAACUGUUAGUUCUUCUAUGGAUAUUUUUUUAAUUCCUAUGGAGGUCUAAAAAAUGCACUUUUCAUUCCCAUUCUGAAAGAUUUUCCUUUUUAUUUUAUGAUUACCGUUAGAACAUGCAUGGUAGCUGUUGGCCUUGUAAACCCAGUUGUUAAACGUGGCACAAGAGUGGACUCUCUCUUUAUUAAAAACAAGGAUGUCUAAGAAAUACUGACACUCCAACCUUAUUCUACAGGGUUCAUUUUCACACAGCGUUGUCACAUUCAGGAAAAUCAUCCUUUUCAAUUUCACAGCAGAUUUCUCUUUACUAGAAUAGUUUUGUCACUGUUAAAUCAAUCCAAAAUACACUGAAAAUUCUGAAAAUU